CAAAAGGGAAAAGAAAUUGUAAAAAUCGCACGACGCUUUACUCGGAGCAUAAGUGUGCGCGCGUUUGUGAUACACGCUGGCAUGUUUCUCGAGUCUGGGAGGGGGAAGGGAAAGGACACGCCGCGUGUGCACGGCCGACUGCCUGCGAGUGGCUGCUUUAUUAUUAGCAGUUCUUGCUGGAUCCUUUGAUCUUAGCCGACCUCGAAGCACUACGCCACUCACACCUGUCGACUGCCGUUUCUACUUCAAUCAGGAAAGCAGAAAAAUGUCUCUAUCUUCUUACACUCGAGAGAGACUUACGAAAGAGAAGAGACAGUUUGCUUAAAGUCGAGAACCACUGGUAGGUCGGCUGAAUAUCCUAAGAAGUUGAGUACCACAGGAGAUCAUUACGUUAUGGCGGUAGGGCCCGCAAGGGUGGGACUAGUGGGUCAGCCAAGCGAACCGAAUCUCCCCUUCACGCCUUAAAAAGGAUCCACGCAAACUUUUGUUCCACUCAUCUUUCUUGGAAGAGGCCUAAUUAAAAUGAGAAAAAUACUACGUUGGCAUUAACCGAAGGGAAAGAAAGUUACGCGAUCGUUACAGGAAAUCGCGAUGUGGAAUGCGGUGCGACCACAUGUCGCGCAGAUGCCAAAGCGUAUGGGGUUAAUCGUUGCUUUCGUCAAUUAGCACAUUUGCGGUGUAAUUGACAUGAAAGAGAAGACAUGCGGUCUUGUUCAUUUUGUUGCGGCGAAAUUGUUUUUGAUCGUCUUUACGGGUCAGCCUAUACGUCUCGCCUUAAUAAAAUAACUAAUUUCGCCAAAGACGAGCAACUACUGACGAUUUUAGCGAUAAAAAGCGGAAGUAUUCCUUGGAGAAAUUCGCUAAUUAACCGUACAAUUCGAUGAGAAACAUCGACCGAAUACUAUACCGCAGACUUUGAUAGUACAUAAAAUCGCAAAGAAUUAAAGGCCCCAAGUCGGAUCACACCUUCGGGAUACGUGAGCGCGGAACACCCGUUAUUACGUUACAGAAACGAGUAUCUUGGGGGCCUGUAAACUUCUACGUGUACGAGAUGGACCGAGAAAAAAAAAGGGAACAGAUAUAGGAAAGAGAUAGGAUGAUUCUUGGAAGGAGAACUCUUUCGAGCCCUUCAAAUAUAGCCACCUACUUAUAUAGCAUAUACAUUAUACAUGUACGUCGCGGCAAGUGGUAAAAAUCACUCCCUUUAAUUUGAUCCCUUCCAGACCUUGCUACCUUGCGCUCUUGAAAUGCUUCUGGCCUUCGAAGGCGUAGUAACUUUGUAAUAAUCUAUAUCUACUGAGAGGGAUAAAAGAACGUUAUUAAAUUCACACGAACAUUGAAUAUCAUCUUACAAAAAUUUUUCUCUAAUAAUAAUAUCACAAAUGUUAUCAAAAUAAAUGUUGAACGGUGAUAGCAUCGAAGAUAGACGGUUUUGAGUUUGGAAGCUACGGAUAGUGUCAAAGUCGUGAGAGAUGCGAUCGAAUAGCGGAGAGAAACGGGAUUUCGCUCGAGCGGGAGGAGAUACGUAGAGUUGGCAGAUAGAAGGGAA